UAUGUACUCCCUUUGCCCGGAAAUACUUGUCAUCAAAAUGAAUAAAAGGGAAUGUAUAUAGAUGUAUUUUAGUUCUAGGUACAUCAUUUUUUAUCCAUUUUGAUGACAAGUAUUUUCGGACGAAGAAAGUACCAC
rfam:Triticum aestivum genome assembly, contig: Triticum_aestivum_CS42_TGACv1_scaffold_019378_1AS